ensembl:snRNA U6 U6 spliceosomal RNA
GUACUCACUUCAGCCAUCCAUUUACUAUAAUUGGAGUGACAUGGAGAAGAUUAGCAUGGCCCCAGCCCAAAGAUGACAUGCAAAUUACUGAAGCAUUCCAUAUUUUA